AUUGAACGCUGGCGGCAUGCUUUACACAUGCAAGUCGAACGGUAACAGGCCGCAAGGUGCUGACGAGUGGCGAACGGGUGAGUAAUGCAUCGGAACGUGCCCAGUCGUGGGGGAUAACUACUCGAAAGAGUAGCUAAUACCGCAUACGAUCUAUGGAUGAAAGCGGGGGACCGUAAGGCCUCGCGCGAUUGGAGCGGCCGAUGUCAGAUUAGGUAGUUGGUGGGGUAAAGGCUCACCAAGCCAACGAUCUGUAGCUGGUCUGAGAGGACGACCAGCCACACUGGGACUGAGACACGGCCCAGACUCCUACGGGAGGCAGCAGUGGGGAAUGUUGGACAAUGGGCGCAAGCCUGAUCCAGCAAUGCCGCGUGCAGGAAGAAGGCCUUCGGGUUGUAAACUGCUUUUGUACGGAACGAAACGGCUCUGGUUAAUACCCGGGGCUAAUGACGGCACCGGAAGAAUAAGCACCGGCUAACUACGUG
rnacentral:rRNA from 1 species